ensembl:lncRNA
UGACUGUCCUGUGGAGCGGUGGAUGUUUUAAAGAAACCAUCCGUACACAUUGUGAAAUGAACGAAUGCAGGACCAGCCCGAAAGAUCUCUGAGGUUUCCACUAAGUGGCAGAUAAAAAUGAAUGCAUGCAUAUGGCUCCUGCUCUUAAAAGGGGACAUGUGUCUACAGGCAUCCGAAUACCAUACAUAGGUCCGUGUAAUUGAGAUUGCUUGCUGCUGACCACCCAUGCUGUCUAUCCGGCUUGGUCCCUCGGGUAAAAUAGUGAUUGUGGAUUCAGCUAGAUACAGUAAUUCAAAUAGAUAGCUGCAUAUUAGAAAAUAGCCUAUGCAAACAUGUUAUGUAUACAAUAAUGUGUUUCCCGGCACAAACAAAUGACUGUGGAUCCUACAAUGACACAAUCGUUCCACUGGAUCACUGCAAAGAAAGGUGCAGCAUAGAAACAUCAACUCAAAUGUACGAAUGCAGAUAAAAAAUGAACAAUGGUGAAUUGUAUAACUCCAUUAGAUAGCUGCACAGUGAUACACAGAUAUAUUUUGACUUCAUAAAAAUUAACAUGUUCACUCUGAGAACUUGUAAACAUGGCAACCAGGGGAAUUCAUUGCUGGCAAUGUGCAAUAAUCUACAAACAUGUCAUAAAUAAUGCCAUUCCCAGCACAGUAUACUAAAUGCAAAGUGACGCAUUGCAUUCAGGGCACAUAGUGGUGGAGCUGAUUCAUGUCCUGUACAGACUGUCUUAACAUCCCUUACUUUCUCUUUUGGCCACUCUACUCUUCCUCCUCUCCGAUUGUAAGAUACCUCUCUUUUCUACUCCAUUUUAUCCUUCCCUAUCUCUUUCUCUCUCUCUCUCCCUUCUCUAUUUCACCUCAAUGACAGAUCCCCUACCUGCCGGAGAUAAUAAGAUACUCCCACUGGCCCGCAAGACUACUUUCCCCAGUAUCCAUCACUCCCCGAGUCACAUUACUGCCCUUUACAAGCACCAGGAUGUUUUUCUCCUUAAUUGUGGCCGUAUACAUACCUCACCCCCCCCAGUGAUAAUAAAUGAUCUUGUCCUCCAUUAAGCCCAUUAGGGAGCUCACACUGAGAGGAGCAUACCGCCCAUAGUGAUCAGGGCUUGUUUGGAGUCGGGCGUCGUGGCUGAGAAUGACCCCGUGCUCUGCAAACACACGUUAGGGCAUCCGGUAUCUUGACUGCAGGACUCUUAUUCUAUCUCUAGUAGUUCUUUUAUUGCUUUGAUUAUUCUACUUUGGGACCAAUCAAAUCACAAGGAAAUAGAAACAGAAGGUCGGAUAGAAGAAGAGCAAAGAUUAAGUCUCCAGGGAUUGACGAACAUUAUAUGUCUGCAG